UCAGCUGACAGUUCGGAAGUAAUAAAGUCUAAGGAAAAAGGAAAGAAAUCAGUUGUCUAUAGUGUUGAAGUUGAAAGAAAUCGAGUCGAGAUGGUUCAUAAGCUCCCGAUACUAGGAAUAAGCUGACUCAUGUAAACAGUCCCGUGGCGUCGUGUGGUUGGCUUGUUGUGCCGCCGCUGCUGCUGAGAGCCGUGAUAACGCUGCUGACGGGGCGGGACGGUGCCGGGAUUGCGUCACGGCUUUGGGAGGUCUCCCUGGUGGAUGACUCCCUCGUGGCCGCCGGAGUCCUGGUGCCGGAAGCUUCCCUUGAGCAUGUAGGUGAUGGUCUGGAUGCCGCGGUGGGGGUGCUCAGGGAAGCCCGCGGGGUGGCGCACCGAAAA